AACGAACGCUGGCGGCAUGCCUAACACAUGCAAGUCGAACGAGACCUUCUGGUCUAGUGGCGCACGGGUGCGUAACGCGUGGGAACCUGCCCUUAGGUUCGGAAUAACUCCCCGAAAGGGGUGCUAAUACCGGAUAAUGUCUUCGGACCAAAGAUUUAUCGCCUUUGGAUGGGCCCGCGUUGGAUUAGCUAGUUGGUAGGGUAAAAGCCUGCCAAGGCGACGAUCCAUAGCUGGUCUGAGAGGAUGAUCAGCCACACUGGGACUGAGACACGGCCCAGACUCCUACGGGAGGCAGCAGUGGGGAAUAUUGGACAAUGGGCGAAAGCGUGAUCCAGCAAUGCCGCGUGAGUGAUGAAGGCCUUAGGGUUGUAAAGCUCUUUUACGCGGGAUGAUAAUGACAGUACCGGGAGAAUAAGCUCCGGCUAACUCCGUG
rnacentral:rRNA from 1 species